UACAGAGGGGGCAAGCGUUAUUCGGAAUUAUUGGGCGUAAAGGGCGCGUAGGCGGCUUGGCAAGUGGAUGGUGAAAUCCCUCGGCUUAACCGAGGAACUGCCGUCCAAACUGCUUCGCUUGAGACCGGGAGAGGUGAGUGGAAUUCCCAGUGUAGCGGUGAAAUGCGUAGAUAUUGGGAGGAACACCAGUGGCGAAGGCGGCUCACUGGACCGGUACUGACGCUGAGGUGCGAAAGCGUGGGGAGCAAACAGG
rnacentral:rRNA from 1 species